AAGCCAACCCAAACAUCCCUUCUGCGACGGGCACAGCACAGACUGCCCGUUGUCUCGCAGAUUAUACUAUCGACAGCUUCUCUUGUUUAUAGAGUUGUUCCCUUCUCUGUAUCUCCAAUGGCGUCCGAUCUCGGAAUGAAGGAAAAGGAGGCUUUCGUCGACGAUCACUUCGAGCUGGCGGCCAACCUCUUAACGCAGGCCAUCGCCCUUAACCCCAGCAACGCCGGCUCUACGCUGAUCGUGCUCAGGCCAAUAUCAAACUGAACAAUCUAACCGAACUUGGGCCAGCUCCGUUCCCUUUCCUUUCGUCUUCUAUGCUUGUGCUCUCUUACUCACUCGCCUGGCUAGUGGCUACUCCGGCGCACAGGGAUUGGGCUAUACAUUUUUUGAAGUCUAUUUCAUCUGGGAAGAUAAAAGUAUGUAAUUUUUUGGAGGAUCAGAUAUCAGUCCAUUGCCACCAGCACCAACAGCGUCAGGGAACAAUGCGCACAUGAUGUAUGUGUUCAAUAGGAGUGGGGUGUGCUUGCUUUACAGGGAGUGGAUUCGCCCACUUCAUACCCUCAAUGCGCAGCAGGACCAUGAGCUUAUGUUUGGUCUUCUUUUUUCUCGCAAGUCGCUAACUGCCAGGAUGGAUCCCACGAGGCUUAGUUUCUAUUUGUAAUCCAACCAUAUUUCAUAUCUUGGAUGCUUUCUUUUUUGGAGUGCAGAGAAAGGAAACCUUGGAAUGCCUCAGUUGCCUGGCCAAGUUCGUUCAUUCCACAGCUUUCGCACAAAUACUUACAAACUUAGUUUCAUGGAAAGUCCUUGUGGGAUAAAGAUUAUUUUGGUUACUCAUCCCUGGACCGGUGAUCUACGUGAAUCCCUAAAGUACAUUCACAACUUGUAUGUUGAAUAUGUUGUCAAAAACCCCCUCUAUGCUCCUGGAACUCCUAUCAGGUGUGAGUUGUUCAAUACCUCUCUUGAUCAAUAUAUAAGGAGCAUAGCCUAGUUCGCGAGUAGAAUUCAGUUGCUGUAAUCUGGCUAUACACUCAAACGAAGCCUGAAAAUUUGACCCUGAAGGUCAGUGGACUUGCAUACUUCGCGGAUACAAUUUUGAAAUGUUAUGGAAUUGCAAUAGUCAAUCCUUUUCCUCUGUGCAACGAUGGAUCUACUUAACAAUAUGCUGUGCCAGCCUAUCCUUUUCUUUUGAGGACUCGAAGACGUAUGGUUCUGUUGUAUAUUCCAUCAUUAGGAUUUAAGAAAUCCCAUUUCUGUAAGAAAACAAGAUUGUGUAUCUAAAAAUGAUGGAGUUCGCAUUAUAGUCAUUCUUCUUAUAACUCCCCAUAAGAUACAGAGGCUCCAAUUUUUUUUUUCAA